rnacentral:rRNA from 1 species
ACGCACGCUGACGGCGUGCUUAACACAUGCAAGUCGAACGGAAAGGCCCUGCUUUUGUGGGGUGCUCGAGUGGCGAACGGGUGAGUAACACGUGAGUAACCUGCCCUUGACUUUGGGAUAACUUCAGGAAACUGGGGCUAAUACCGGAUAGGAGCUCCUGCUGCAUGGUGGGGGUUGGAAAGUUUCGGCGGUUGGGGAUGGACUCGCGGCUUAUCAGCUUGUUGGUGGGGUAGUGGCUUACCAAGGCUUUGACGGGUAGCCGGCCUGAGAGGGUGACCGGCCACAUUGGGACUGAGAUACGGCCCAGACUCCUACGGGAGGCAGCAGUGGGGAAUAUUGCACAAUGGGCGGAAGCCUGAUGCAGCAACGCCGCGUGCGGGAUGACGGCCUUCGGGUUGUAAACCGCUUUCGCCUGUGACGAAGCGUGAGUGACGGUAAUGGGUAAAGAAGCACCGGCUAACUACGUG